AUGGCUUCCCAACGGUCCUCUCACUCGCAAGCGGUCGCCGCCUCCAACGUUCCAGUCCAUGGCCGGCGCGCCGCCCCCUCCCAAUCCCUGCCACAGCCCCACCCGUCUUGUGAUUGCUCCGAUCCCCGACGGCCAGAUUGCGCCUUGGCCCCGUUUGUAUCCUUCCGUGAUGUGGUGAUCUCCGGGUCUUCUUCAUCUGUGCCGCUUCCCGGCCGGUCCCGCCCAGCCUUGCUGGAUCUAGAACCGGACAACGUGGGGUGGACACUGGUGCAGAACCGUCGUCGUCAGCGCCGUUUGGACGACUCUCCGUCCGCCGCACCCAAGCUCAAGCCUGAUGGAUCCACACUUAGGAUUCCUCGGUGGCUGGUGGGAAGGUGUUUUAAAUGCUUGGAAUCUGGGCACCGCAAAGCUAGGUGCACCGGCAGGAUUUGUUGCCAUCGCUGCUGGCUCUUGGGUCAUAUUGCGCGUGAGUGCCACUCGUCCCCUGCUUCGGCUCCCUACGCUCCUCCCUCAGCCAGAUCCCAAUCCAGCCUCCCCUCCCGCGCCGCCGCGAGCAGGCGUCCCCAAGCGCCUCCUUCUCACCGUCCGCCGCCACCUAGGGACAUGGCGAACUACCCUCCCCUUGCCCAAGCUCGUUUCCCAGGGGAGCUCUACACCCAUGGGGAUCCAGAUCUGCGGCCGGAAAGGGGCAGUGGAAUCAUAUCGCGCACGCCAGGGAUGGAGGAACUCGAGGCGGACUUCAAGAACCGCGCCCUCCUGGCCACGGUGCAGGGCAGGAGGCCGGCGGUCUAA
rnacentral:rRNA from 1 species